GAUGAACGCUGGCGGCGUGCCUAAUACAUGCAAGUCGAGCGAACGGACGAGAAGCUUGCUUCCCUGAUGUUAGCGGCGGACGGGUGAGUAACACGUGGAUAAUCUACCUAUAAGACUGGGAUAACCUCGGGAAACCGUAGCUAAUACCGGAUAAUAUUUUGAACCGCAUGGUUCCAACGUGAAAAACGGUCUUGCUGUCACUUAUAGAUGGAUCCGCGCUGCAUUGGCUAGUUGGUAAGGUAACGGCUUACCAAGGCAACGACGCACAGCCGACCUGGAAGGGUGGUCGCCCACACGGGAGCGUGGACACGGUCCAGACGCCUGCGGGAGGCAGCAGUAGGGAAUCUUACGCAGUAGGCGAAAACCUGGCGGAGCAACGCCGCGUGAGUGAUAAAGAUCUUCGGAUCGGAAAGCUCUGUUAUUAGUGAAGAACAUAUGUGUAAAGAACAGUACACAUCUUGACGGUACCUAAUCAGAAAGCCACGGCUAACUACGUG
rnacentral:rRNA from 1 species